rnacentral:rRNA from 1 species
UACCUGCAGCUCGAGUGGUGAUCGUUAUUAUUGGGCCUAAAACGUCCGUAGCCGGUCUUAUAAAUGCCUGGGUAAAUCGUAUGGCUUAACCAUACGAAUUCCGGGUAGACUGUUUGACUUGAGACCGGGAGAAGCUAGAGGUACUCCUGGGGUAGAAGUGAAAUUCUGUAAUCCUGGGGGGACCACCAGUGGCGAAGGCGUCUAGCUAGAACGGGUCUGACGGUGAGGGACGAAGCCCUGGGGCGCAAACGGGAUUAGAUACCCCGGUAGUCCAGGGUGUAAACGCUGCUUGCUUGAUGUUAGUCUGGCUCCGAGCCAGAUUAGUGUCGGAGAGAAGUUGUAAAGCAAGCUGCCUGGGAAGUACGGCCGCAAGACUGAAACUUAAAGGAAUUGGCGGGGGAGCACAGCAACGGGUGGAGCGUGCGGUUU